rnacentral:rRNA from 1 species
GUGGGGAAUAUUGGACAAUGGGGGCAACCCUGAUCCAGCGACGCCGCGUGUGUGAAGAAGGCCUGCGGGUUGUAAAGCACUUUUAGUGGGGAUGAAAAGCCGAAGGCUAAUACCUUUCGGUCUUGACCUAACCCAAAGAAAAAGCACCGGCUAACUCUGUGCCAGCAGCCGCGGUAAUACAGAGGGUGCAAGCGUUAAUCGGAAUUACUGGGCGUAAAGCGUGCGUAGUCGGUUAUCUAAGUCGGAUGUGAAAUCCCCGGGCUCAACCUGGGAAUUGCAUUCGAUACUGGAUAGCUAGAGUUCGGCAGAGGGAAGCGGAAUUUCGGGUGUAGCGGUGAAAUGCGUAGAUAUCCGAAGGAACAUCAGUGGCGAAAGCGGCUUCCUGGACCAGAACUGACGAUCAGGCACGAAAGCGUGGGGAGCAAACAGGAUUAGAAACCCGAGUAGUCC